rnacentral:rRNA from 1 species
UCCGUAGGGUGCGAGCGUUGUCCGGAAUUACUGGGCGUAAAGAGCUCGUAGGUGGUUUGUCGCGUUGUUCGUGAAAACUCACAGCUUAACUGUGGGCGUGCGGGCGAUACGGGCAGACUGGAGUACUGCAGGGGAAACUGGAAUUCCUGGUGUAGCGGUGGAAUGCGCAGAUAUCAGGAGGAACACCGGUGGCGAAGGCGGGUCUCUGGGCAGUAACUGACGCUGAGGAGCGAAAGCGUGGGGAGAGAACAGG